UACGAGGGGAGCGAGCGUUGUUCGGAUUUACUGGGCGUAAAGGGCGUCUAGGCGGGCCUUCAAGUCAGAUGUGGAAGCCCUCGGCUCAACCGGGGAAUUGCAUUUGAAACUGGAGGUCUUGAGUACAGAAGAGGAAAGCGGAAUUCCUGGUGUAGCGGUGAAAUGCGUAGAUAUCAGGAAGAACACCAGUGGCGAAGGCAGCUUUCUGGGCUGAUACUGACGCUGAAGCGCGAAAGCGUGGGGAGCAAACAGGAUUAGAUACCCCCGUA
rnacentral:rRNA from 1 species